rnacentral:rRNA from 1 species
GACGACGCUGGCGGCGUGCUUAACACAUGCAAGUCGAGCGAUGAAACACCUUCGGGUGUGAAUUAGCGGCGAACGGGUGAGGAACACGUGAGAAAUCUGCCUUCAACUCUGGGAUAACUCCGUGAAAACGGGGCUAAUACCGGAUAUGAGCCUUGAUCGCAUGAUCGGGGCUGGAAAGUUUUUCGGUUGAAGAUGAUCUCGCGGCCUAUCAGCUUGUUGGUGAGGUAAUGGCUCACCAAGGCGACGACGGGUAGCCGGCCUGAGAGGGCGACCGGCCACACUGGGACUGAGACACGGCCCAGACUCCUACGGGAGGCAGCAGUGGGGAAUAUUGGGCAAUGGAGGAAACUCUGACCCAGCGACGCCGCGUGAGGGAUGAAGGCCUUCGGGUUGUAAACCUCUUUCAGUAGGGAAGAAGCGAAAGUGACGGUACCUACAGAAGAAGCACCGGCUAACUAUGUG